rnacentral:rRNA from 1 species
GAUGAACGCUGGCUACAGGCUUAACACAUGCAAGUCGAGGGGAAACGACGGGGAAGCUUGCUUCCCCGGGCGUCGACCGGCGCACGGGUGGGUAACGCGUAUCCAACCUGCCUCUGACUGAGGGAUAACCCGUCGAAAGUCGGCCUAAUACCUCAUGGUAUCGUCUGCGGGCAUCCAACGACGAUUAAAGAUUUCAUCGGUCAGGGAUGGGGAUGCGUCUGAUUAGCUUGUUGGCGGGGUAACGGCCCACCAAGGCUACGAUCAGUAGGGGUUCUGAGAGGAAGGUCCCCCACAUUGGAACUGAGACACGGUCCAAACUCCUACGGGAGGCAGCAGUGAGGAAUAUUGGUCAAUGGGCGAGAGCCUGAACCAGCCAAGUAGCGUGCAGGAAGACGGCCCUAUGGGUUGUAAACUGCUUUUAUGCGGGGAUAAAGUGAGGGACGUGUCCCUCAUUGCAGGUACCGCAUGAAUAAGGACCGGCUAAUUCCGU